rnacentral:rRNA from 1 species
UACAUAGGGGGCAAGCGUUGUCCGGAAUAACUGGGCGUAAAGGGUGCGUAGGUGGUUAGGUAAGUUAAAUGUGAAAGCCCGCAGCUCAACUGCGGAACUGCAUUUAAUACUGCUUGACUGGAGUGCAGGAGAGGUAAGUGGAAUUCCUAGUGUAGCGGUGGAAUGCGUAGAUAUUAGGAGGAACACCAGAGGCGAAGGCGGCUUACUGGACUGUAACUGACACUGAGGCACGAAAGCGUGGGGAGCAAAC